UAUAUAUAUUAUAUCAAAUGAUGUGGAGAAAAGGGAACUCUCCUACAUUGUUGGUGGGAAUGUACAUUAGUACAACCACAUUGAGAACAGUUUGGGGGUU